rnacentral:rRNA from 1 species
AACGAACGCUGGCGGCAUGCCUAACACAUGCAAGUCGAACGAGAUCUUCGGAUCUAGUGGCGCACGGGUGUGUAACGCGUGGGAAUCUACCCUUGGGUUCGGAAUAACAGUUGGAAACGACUGCUAAUACCGGAUGAUGACGUAAGUCCAAAGAUUUAUCGCCCAAGGAUGAGCCCGCGUAGGAUUAGCUAGUUGGUGAG